CAGCGUCGAGUUGGACUUUUAUGUCUUAUAAUUAAAGUAAAUUUGUGUGACGGAACGAAUAUUAAAGUAUACAUUUAUGAACGCGUUUGUCACUUCUACGGUUGAUGAUGAACUGUGCCAAGGAUAGUUAUCAAAUACUUUUACAGUACACAAAGUUUUUAAAAACUAGUGGUAAUUAUACAUCAUUUAAGACCAUUGGCAUAUCAAUGGGAGAAGGAUUUUUCAAUAAAAUAAUAACAAAAUGUUGAUAUUUUGAAAACAAUACACCGUUAACUAGUACUGCAAAAUUGUUGUCGUAGUCAUGGUCAGUGCAUUUACACACCAGUGGUUAUGUUUAACAUGUAAUGACUUCAAAUAAAUAACCCGGACAUUGUAACCGGAAAAUUGUUUAUAUUAUCUACCGUUUGAAAAUUGAAGUAAUCCUUCAUAAUAUGCUCGAAACUAAAUUACAAGAAAACUAAAUGAAUAUAAUUUGCCAUGAUAACAUCACCUAAAACAAAUAUCUCAUUAGAGUUAACAUGUAUAAGGUAAGUUUUACUGAUAACAGCUAAUCAUAACUUUUAUUUUUUUUGAGUUAGAGAGCCGAAAUGUUUAACCCAUAUCAAGUUUAGCCAACCACAUAUACUGUGCAAAUUUUAGACGCCUACAUUCAAUAUAUAGCGAGAAAAAUAUCCAUUAAAAUGAAACUUAAUCACCCAAUCAAUUGGAAAAAUCGAUUCCGUAUAGUCGACAUCAACGGGAGACCAACUCUCAUACAUAUCCACGGACAGAAUGCCAAGUUGUUCUAUUUUCGAUAAGAAUAUAUAUAGUCUUACUCCCAUGCAGAGAUUCGAAAAACAAAUUUUUCAGAGAACCGUAGCUUCCAAUUUGAGGAAUCAGUAUAAUAUUAUGAGCAAUUAAAAUUGUUAUUAUUAUUAACUAUAGAAU